GUUGCAAGUUGCAAAUGACACUGCAUUCUGCAACGCUAUGGGAUCUUCCUUUCCAAUCAAAUUCGCCUUAUUCUUCUCCCUCUCUCUCGGCGCCGCCGCCGCCGUUCCUCUCUCACUCCCCCGAAAUCUCACGCCCAAAUCCAAAGCCACCACCUCGGACUUGCUUUCCCUCCUCGGCUCACCUCACCAGGCCGCCUCCGUUAACUCGGUAGUCGCCCGACAACUCCGCUCAUGCUUCAAAUUCCUAGCCCCCUUCAAUCAAACCCUACCAACUCGCCGAGCACUCACUUCUCAACUCAAUACGCCAGUCGAUUACCUAAUUCGCUCGCCGCCGCCGCCCGUAUUGGAGCUGGCGCGACUCGCGGUCGACUCCGGCGGUGACCCUGGGGCUAUUCACCGAGCUCUUGAUCCGACUAUUAUAACUGUUCCUGAUGUUGAAGGAUCAAACCAGGACCGUUGUGAGCUUACUAGAUAUCCUUAUGGCUGGCGAUUCAUUGAUGAGGCCUUGAAUUCUUACAUUGAGCUCUUGUUUGAAAUUAUUGUCGAGCGUGGCCCGGGAGUAGGCCUUAAUGUGUCUCUAAGCCGCUAUGAUUUUUUCCAUGGUCACCUUUUCCUUGCCAAGGAGUCUGGAAGACUUGGCAUUUUGUUUCAUGCUAAAGAGUACCCUGCCUAUGACAAAGAACUUUUUCCUUGCAACAUGGGCUAUUGCCAAGUCGGAUCCAAUGUUACUUACGACGAUUCAAUGAACUUGAGAAAUAUUUUAUGGCUUGCUCCUUUACCGAAUGAUUCCAGAAAGGCAUGGGAUGCACCAGAUUUUGUUGUUGGCAGGAGUCCUCGUUGUCUUGGACGCACAUCCUGAAGGAAUAAUAUACCGGGAUCUCAUACCUGAAUAUGUUCAUAUUGCAAGGACACUAUAUGAAGAUGAUUUUGGGGAAGUUGUGGUUGAUGUCAACUAUCUGAACGUGGGAGGUGAAACAUCUAAAUUCCAACUCUUCGUAUGCUGAGGAGACAUCAUGGAGGUAUCUCCUUUCCAUAUCAGAAGCUGGAGAUUUCAUUUGCUCUCUCUCUCUUGGAUCAGACAUUCAGGGUAAGCUGAAGCUAGGUUGGUUGGCGCAAAAGAAUAGUUUGAGCAGACGUGGAAAUGAACAUUAUGCCAAACCUCUAACUACAGCAAAAUUGACAUAAUGUUCAGCCCCCUUCAAUGAUCACUGAUGAGUCCUCUUUUCAUGUGUGCUGCUCCGAACUAGGCCUGUACAUUAUUAGAUUUUUUUCAGGGUGUUGUCUUUCAAGUUUGGGCAAAUUUAUGACUUGAUUCCUUUGUUGUGAGAUAAACGAAUGUAAUUGCUUAGUAUGUAUCUCGAAUGUAUGUAUCCAUGUUCUCUUGAUUCA